rnacentral:rRNA from 1 species
GACGAACGCUGGCGGCGUGCUUAACACAUGCAAGUCGAACGGAAAGGCCCUGCUUUUGUGGGGUGCUCGAGUGGCGAACGGGUGAGUAACACGUGAGUAACCUGCACCUGACUUUGGGAUAACUUCAGGAAACUGGGGCUAAUACCGGAUAGGAGCUCCUGCUGCAUGGUGGGGGCUGGAAAGUUUCGGCGGUUGGGGAUGGACUCGCGGCGCAUCAGCUUGUUGGGUGGGUAGUGGCUUACCAAGGCUAUGACGGGUAGCCGGCCUGAGAGGGGGACCGGCCCAAUUAGAACUGAGAUGCGGCCCAGACUCCUACGGGAGGCAGCAGUGGGGAAUAUUACACAAUGGGCGGAAGCCUGAUGCAGCAACGCCGCGUGCGGGAUGACAGCCUUCGGGUUGUGAACCGCUUUCGCCUGUGACGAAGCGUGAGUGACAGUAAUGGGUAAAGAAGCACCGGCUAACUACGUG